rnacentral:rRNA from 1 species
AAAGGAAUUGACGGGGACCCGCACAAGCGGUGGAGCAUGUGGUUUAAUUCGAAGCAACGCGAAGAACCUUACCAGCUCUUGACAUUAUCUGAACACCCUAGAGAUAGGGCUUUCCCUUCGGGGACAGAAUAACAGGUGGUGCAUGGUUGUCGUCAGCUCGUGUCGUGAGAUGUUGGGUUAAGUCCCAUAACGAGCGCAACCCUUAUUGUUAGUUGCCAGCAUUCAGUUGGGCACUCUAGCGAGACUGCCGGUGAUAAACCGGAGGAAGGUGGGGAUGACGUCAAAUCAUCAUGCCCCUUAUGAGCUGGGCUACACACGUGCUACAAUGGACGGUACAACGAGUGGCGAAGGCGCAAGCCGGAGCGAAUCUUAAUAAGCCGUUCUCAGUUCGGAUUGUUCUCUGCAACUCGAGAGCAUGAAGCCGGAAUCGCUAGUAAUCGCGGAUCAGAACGCCGCGGUGAAUACGUUCCCGGGUCUUGUACACACCGCCCGU